rnacentral:rRNA from 1 species
UUAAUACGACCCACUAUAGGGCGAAUUGGGCCCGACGUCGCAUGCUCCCGGCCGCCAUGGCCGCGGGAUUAUUACCGCGGCUGCUGGCACGAAGUUAGCCGGGGCUUCUUCUCCGGGUACCGUCAUUAUCGUCCCCGGUGAAAGAAUUUUACAAUCCUAAGACCUUCAUCAUUCACGCGGCAUGGCUGCGUCAGGCUUUCGCCCAUUGCGCAAGAUUCCCCACUGCUGCCUCCCGUAGGAAUCACUAGUGCGGCCGCCUGCAGGUCGACCAUAUGGGAGAGCUCCCAACGCGUUGGAUGCAUAGCUUGAGUAUUCUAUAGUGCCACCUAAAUA